rnacentral:rRNA from 1 species
GACGAACGCUGGCGGCGUGCUUAACACAUGCAAGUCGAACGGAAAGGCCCUGCUUUUGUGGGGUGCUCGAGUGGCGAACGGGUGAGUAACACGUGAGUAACCUGCCCUUGACUUUGGGAUAACUUCAGGAAACUGGGGCUAAUACCGGAUAGGAGCUCCUGCUGCAUGGUGGGGGUUGGAAAGUUUCGGCGGUUGGGGAUGGACUCGCGGCUUAGCAGCUUGUUGGUGGGGUAGUGGCUUACCAAGGCUUUGACGGGUAGCCGGCCUGAGAGGGUGACCGGACACAUUGGGACUGAGAUACGGCCCAGACUCCUACGGGGGGCAGCAGGGGGGAAUAUUGCACAAUGGGAGGAAGUCUGAUGCAGCAACGCCGCGUGCGGGAUGACGGCCUUCGGGUUGUAAACCGCUUUCGCCUGUGACGAAGCGUGAGUGACGGUAAUGGGUAAAGAAGCACCGGCUAACUACGUG